CUCUCUCUCUCUCUCUCGGGCUUCGAUGCGUGACGGCAGGAGCAGCUGGUUAACUGGUUCGGAAACCCGCUCCUGGUUCCUUCAUCGAGGGUUUAGGGAUUAGCUUCGGAACCCAAAGAAUUCGCUUUGAAUUUGGUUGUAGGGUUGCGAUGAAUUCAGAGGGGACAUUUGGCCUUCAAAAUGCGUCCUUGACAUCAAAAUAAGCAUUGCAUACACAUGAUAGAUAGAAAGGUAGGAAAGGCUAAGUACUGCUUAUGAUGAAAAGAAUGCCUCUUUGACAUCGCAAGUGGGUGGGUGUGGGGGCACCGCCGGCUUGUUGAUGAUGAUGAUGAAUGAUGAUUUGGUUUAGAAGAGGUUUAUGCAUGAAGCAAUGAUGGGAAUCGAGUGUCCCCAACUAAUUUGAUCUCAUCUGCUUCUGCCAUUUAGCUGUGAUGGAAGGUCUCAACACAGUUCCGUACAUACGAUAUGGUACGAGCUGUAUUUAUCGGUCCGGCAGUUUAUCGAUAUACAUAACAUGGUUUGUGAAAGA